rnacentral:rRNA from 1 species
CUGGUUUGAUCCUGCCAGUAGUCAUAUGUUUGUCUUAAAGAUUAAGCCAUGCAUGUGUAAGUAUGAACUAAUUUAGACUGUGAAACUGUGAAUUGCUCAUUAAAUCAAUUAUAGUUUGUUUGAUAGUAUCUACUACUCGAAUAAUCAUAGUAAUUCUAGAGCUAAUACAUGCAACAAACCUCGACUUUUGGAAGGAAUGCAUUUAUUAGAUAAAAGGUUGACACAGGCUACGCCCUUUGCUCUGAUGAUUCAUGAUAACUCGACGGAUUGCACGACCUUUACGUUGGUGACGCAUCAUUCAAAUUUUUGCCCUAUCAACUUUCGAUGGGAGGAUAGUGGCCUACUAUGGUGGUGACGAGUGACGGAGAAUUAGGGUUCAAUUUUGAAAAGAGAGCUUGAGAAACGGCUACCACAUCCAAGGAAGGCAGCAGGCGCUCAAAUUACCCAAUUCUGACACAGAGAGGUAGCGAAAAUAAAUAACAAUACUAGGCUCUAUGAGUCUGGUAAUUAGAAUGAGUACAAUCUAAAUCCCUUAAUGAGGAUCCAAUGGAGGGCAAGUCUGGUGCUAGCAGCCACGACAAUUCCAACUCCAAUAGCGUAUAUUUAAGUUGUUGCAGUUAAAAAGCUUGUAGUUAAAAAUAAGGUUGGGUCGUCAGGUCCGCCUCAUGGUGAGCACCGGUCUACUUGUCCCUACUACUGAUGAUGCGCUCCUGGACUUAAUUGCCCAGGUCGUUCCUCUGACACUGUUACUUCGAUGAAAUUAGAGUGCUCAAAGUAGGCCUACGCUUGUAUACAUUAGCAUCGGAUAAGAUCAUAGGAUUUCAGUCCUAUUGUGUUGGCCUUUGGGAUCAGAGUAAUGAUUAACAGGGACAGUCAGGGGCAUUCGUAUUUCAUAGUCAGAGGUGAAAUUCUUGGAUUUAUGAAAGAUGAACAACUACGAAAGCAUUUGCCAAUGAUGUUUUCAUUAAUCAAGAACGAAAGUUAGGGGCUCAAAGACGAUUAGAUACCAUCCUGUCUCAACCAUAAACGAUGCCGACCAGGGAUCGACGGAUGUUACUUUUAGGACUCCACUGCCACUUUAUGAGAAAUCAAAGUCUUUGGGUUCUGGGGAGAGUAUGGUCGUAAGGCUGAAACUUAAAGGAAUUGAUAGAAGGGCACCACCAGGAGUAGAGCCUGCGGCUUAAUUUGACUCAACACGGGGAAACUUACCAGGUCCAGACAUAGUAAGGAUUGACAAACUGAAAGCUCUUUCUUGAUUCUAUGGGUGGUGGUGCAUGGUUGUUCUUAGUUGGUGGAGCAAUUUGUCUGGUUAAUUCCAUUAACAAACGAGACCUCAGCCUGUUAACUAGCUACGCGGAGGUGAUCCUUCGUGGCUAGCUUCUUAGAGGGACUAUGGCCACUUAGGCCAAGGAAGUUUGAGGCAAUAAUAGGUCUGUAAUGCCCUUAGAUGUUCUGGGCCGCACGUACGCUACACUGAUGUAUUCAAUGAGUCUAUAGCCUUGGCCGAUAGGCUAGGGUAAUCUUUGAAAUUUCAUUGUGAUGAGGAUAGAUCAUUGCAAUUGUUGGUCUUCAACGAGGAAUUCCUAGUAAGCGCGAGUCAUCAGCUCGCAUUGACUACGUCCAUGCCCUUUGUACACACUGCCCAUCACUCCUACUGAUUGAAUGGUCUGGUGAAGUGUUCAGAUUACGGUGACGUGGACGGUUCGCUGUCCGUGACGUCACGAGAAGUCCACUGAACCUUAUCAUUUGGAGGAAGGAGAAGUCGUAACAAGGCUUUCGUAAGUGAACCUGCAGAAG